rnacentral:rRNA from 1 species
CCUACGGGUGGCAGCAGUGAGGAAUAUUGGUCAAUGGACGGAAGUCUGAACCAGCCAUGCCGCGUGCAUGAUGACGGCUCUAUGAGUUGUAAACUGCUUUUGUACGAGAAUAAUAGUUCUUGCGUGCAGGGCUUUAAAUGUCUCGUACGAAUAAGGCUCGGCCAACUCCGUGCCAGCAGCCGCGGUAAUACGGAGGAUUCGAGCGUUAUCCGGAUUUCUUGGGUUUAAAGGGUGCGUAGGCUGGUGGAUAAGUUAGAGGUCAAAUGUCGGGGCUUAACCCCGUGCCUGCCUCUGAUACUGUUCGACUAGAGAGCGGAUGCAGCAGGCGGAAUGAGUAGUGUAGCGGUGAAAUGCGUAGAUAUUACUCAGAACACCGAUUGCGCAGGCAGCUUGCUAAUCCGCAUCUGACGCUGAUGCACGAAAGCGUGGGUAGCGAACAGGAUUAGAUACCCGGGUAGUC